rnacentral:rRNA from 1 species
UACGGAGGGGGCUAGCGUUGUUCGGAAUUACUGGGCGUAAAGCGCACGUAGGCGGCUUUGUAAGUUAGAGGUGAAAGCCCGGGGCUCAACUCCGGAACUGCCUUUAAGACUGCAUCGCUUGAAUCCAGGAGAGGUGAGUGGAAUUCCGAGUGUAGAGGUGAAAUUCGUAGAUAUCAGGAGGAACACCGGUGGCGAAGGCGGCUAUCUGGACAGAAACUGACGCUGAGGCGCGAAAGCUAGGGGAGCAAACAGG